AAUAAGUUGCCUGAUAAAAGGGCUAUCUUGAUAGGGUAGAUAAUAUGAUUUAACAUCAUACUUAUUA
rnacentral:tRNA from 1 species